AGUGAACGCUGGCGGUAGGCCUAACACAUGCAAGUCGAACGGCAGCACAGUAAGAGCUUGCUCUUACGGGUGGCGAGUGGCGGACGGGUGAGGAAUACAUCGGAAUCUACUUUUUCGUGGGGGAUAACGUAGGGAAACUUACGCUAAUACCGCAUACGACCUACGGGUGAAAGCAGGGGAUCUUCGGACCUUGCGCGAUUGAAUGAGCCGAUGUCGGAUUAGCUAGUUGGCGGGGUAAAGGCCCACCAAGGCGACGAUCCGUAGCUGGUCUGAGAGGAUGAUCAGCCACACUGGAACUGAGACACGGUCCAGACUCCUACGGGAGGCAGCAGUGGGGAAUAUUGGACAAUGGGCGCAAGCCUGAUCCAGCCAUACCGCGUGGGUGAAGAAGGCCUUCGGGUUGCAAAGCCCUUUCGUUGGGAAAGAAAAGCAGCAGGUUAAUACCCCGCUGUUCUGACGGUACCCAAAGAAUAAGCACCGGCUAACUUCGUG
rnacentral:rRNA from 1 species